UUGCUGUGAAUCUUCAUUUCUUGAGUCAUGGAAAUUUAUGAAUUAUUGCUGCUAUAUAGGCCAGUGAGGGAGAACCAUCAAGCAGUGCUGCACAGGCAAGCAUUUCGUUUUGCUUUGUAACCUGGAUCCUUGAGAUUCUAUUGUCCCUGGAUACUUUCUUUGGGUGGCUUGAGAGGCAAUAGGCUUAAUAGCGGCAGGGAAAGAAUUGCAAGGAUUUAAAGCUCUGAAUCUAAAUAAAUUAUUGAGGGAUUCUGAAAAUUUUACUAUCCAAUACUGUACCAAAAAUGAAUUAGUACUUGAGGUUGUCUCAGUCGGCUUCAUCAUGCUCUUAUAUAUCUUGUUUUAUCAUACUAUUUUUUCUAAUGGAUUAUUUUGAUCAUUUGAAGAUUGUAAUAACACUAGUUUGUAAUUUUGUAUCCCAAAUCUGAUUACAGAUUUUUCUAAAUGACAAAAAAUUGUUUGACCUGCUGCU
rnacentral:lncRNA from 1 species